GUGCUCGCUUCGGUGACACAUAUACUAAAAUUGGAAUAAUAUAGAGAAGAUUAGUAUGGUCCCUGUGCUAGGAUGACAUGCAAAUUCAUGAAGUGUUCCAUAUUUUU